rnacentral:tRNA from 1 species
GUCAAUGAAGCAAAACUGGAUCUGCAAAAGGUCUAAGCCCUUUUUUAGGGGGUUCAAGUCCCCUCGUUGACU